rnacentral:rRNA from 1 species
UAGGGAAUCUUCCGCAAUGGGCGAAAGCCUGACGGAGCAACGCCGCGUGAGUGAUGAAGGUCUUCGGAUCGUAAAACUCUGUUAUUAGGGAAGAACAAAUGUGUAAGUAACUAUGCACGUCUUGACGGUACCUAAUCAGAAAGCCACGGCUAACUACGUGCCAGCAGCCGCGGUAAUACGUAGGUGGCAAGCGUUAUCCGGAAUUAUUGGGCCUAAAGCGCGCGUAGGCGGUUUUUUAAGUCUGAUGUGAAAGCCCACGGCUCAACCGUGGAGGGUCAUUGGAAACUGGAAAACUUGAGUGCAGAAGAGGAAAGUGGAAUUCCAUGUGUAGCGGUGAAAUGCGCAGAGAUAUGGAGGAACACCAGUGGCGAAGGCGACUUUCUGGUCUGUAACUGACGCUGAUGUGCGAAAGCGUGGGGAUCAAACAGG